UUCAACCAUGGGCAUAGAGAGAAGAAAUAUGCGGAGAGAUAGCGUUGGGCGUUGACACAUAGCAGCAGAUCCAAGGUUAUACUAAUAAGAAGAUGUGGUAAAGGGAAGGGAGUUCUCGUCUAUCCUAGAAAAACAUAAAGGCUUUCUGACUCGAAAAACGAUGAUAUUCAAUGACAAAGUAUGAUUGAAUAAUCAAUCACUUUAUCCAUACUAUCUUCAUGAUUAUCAGUGGAUGCCAUUGUCUUCUUCAUCACUCCACUUGUUAUAAUUACUUGCGAUGCUAUGACUGGAAUACCUCCCGGAAUGGGCACUGUAGGAAAUAAUUCAUAUAUGAAUGGAAAUUGGGUUACGUAGAAAUUACAAGGAUUAAGUCUGUUGGGCAAAAGGCAUGCUAACUGUUGAUGACCAGUCACAGGUAGAUGGUCAAGAUCAGUUUCCGAAGGACACGAUCCUUCAAUGAGGCAUAAUCUGGUGGCCACGGUUAUGUCUCUUCAAAACCGUUGCCUCUUCCCAAACGGUGUCUUUCUCUUUAUAAAUAACCCAUCUUCCUGUUCGUGAUAGACAGAGAAAAACCUUAAGUUCAGUUUGUAAGUUUUUUCAUGAAAUACUUGUGAGAGUUCGGUGUUAUCUAAGCGCUGCGAAAAACAUCGAGGUAUUGUUGAAUGUUGGAGACAUGUGCCAUAAACCUAUAACAACAUUAUAUACAUCACAUCAAAUGUCUAAAGCAAAAAGAUUACUCGCCUCACUACAACAAAUUGAUAGUUUGCUUACGGAUUCUGUUACCAGAUGUGGCAUUCUCUGGUACUACGAUCUUGUUUUCCUCUUAAUGGCAGAUCAAUCUUCAAUUUCUUGUUGCCACGCAUUAGUAUUGCAGUAAUGUCUUAUCACAUCAAUGAAUUUCUCCUCAGUUGGCAGUUUCACA